rnacentral:rRNA from 1 species
CUGGUUGAUUCUGCCAGUAGUCAUAUGCUUGUCUCAAAGAUUAAGCCAUGCAUGUCUAAGUAUAAGCAAUCUAUACUGUGAAACUGCGAAUGGCUCAUUAAUCAGUUAUCGUUUAUUUGAUAGUACCUUACUACAUGGAUAACCGUGGUAAUUCUAGAGCUAAUACAUGCUAAAAGCCCCGACUUCUGGAGGGGUGUAUUUAUUAGAUAAAAGACCAAUGCCCUUUGGGGCUCAGUGGUGAUUCAUGAUAACUUAACGAAUCGCAUGGCCUUGCGCCGGCGAUGGUUCAUUCAAAUUUCUGCCCUAUCAACUUUCGAUGGUAGGAUAGUGGCCUACCAUGGUUUCAACGGGUAACGGGGAAUUAGGGUUCUAUUCCGGAGAGGGAGCCUGAGAAACGGCUACCACAUCCAAGGAAGGCAGCAGGCGCGCAAAUUACCCAAUCCCAAUACGGGGAGGUAGUGACAAUAAAUACUGAUACAGGGCUCUUUUGGGUCUUGUAAUUGGAAUGAGUACAAUUUAAAUCCCUUAACGAGGAUCAAUUGGAGGGCAAGUCUGGUGCCAGCAGCCGCGGUAAUUCCAGCUCCAAUAGCGUAUAUUAAAGUUGUUGCAGUUAAAAAGCUCGUAGUUGAACCUUGGGCCUGGCUGGCCGGUCCGCCUCACCGCGUGCACUGGUCCGGCCGGGCCUUUCCUUCUGGGGAGCCGCAUGCCCUUCACUGGGCGUGUUGGGGAACCAGGACUUUUACUUUGAAAAAAUUAGAGUGUUCAAAGCAGGCCUAUGCUCGAAUACAUUAGCAUGGAAUAAUGGAAUAGGACGUGCGAUCCUAUUGUGUUGGUUUCUAGGACCGCCGUAAUGAUUA